rnacentral:rRNA from 1 species
CCCUUAGAUGUUCUGGGCCGCACGCGCGCUACACUGACGGAGGCAGCGAGCGUGUCCUUCGCCGGCAGGUGCGGGCAAUCUUGCGAGUCUCCGUCGUGCUGGGGAUAGAUGGUUGCAAUUGUCGAUCUUGAACGAGGAAUUCCUAGUAAGCGCGAGUCAUCAGCUCGCGCUGAUUACGUCCCUGCCCUUUGUACACACCGCCCGUCGCUACUACAGAGUGCCCGUGUCCAAGAAACGGUCGGACCUGUGCGGCCUCUCCGGGCGACCGGAGGGCCGUUACGGGGAAGACCCUUUAUUUGACGCGGGUCGAUGAAGUAAAGGUCGUAACA